GCAUGAAGCUGUUCACGGAUCGGACUGACACUACACGCUGCUCCUCACACACCGCUUCCUCCAACACGCCCUCUCCAGUCUUAAAGCUCUGUAGUAAAGGGGAGUGGGCUGAGAGACAGCAAGAGAGGAGACCCUGCAAACAGCUACAGAGAACACAGAUGUGAAAUGCUCUGCACCUCCAGCUGUCACAGAGGAACAGAGCCAAGAGAUUACUAACCCUUUCCACACCCAAACUGACAGUCACUGUCACUGCCAUAUCCAGAUUUCAAUUCGCGAUCCGCUGAUUCCAUAAGCUCCAGACGUUGGGUAAUGCUGCAAAUUCGUGUACCUGCACGGAGGGGCAUUGUGUGUGAGAAUUGCCAGCUUCCUCCGCCACUCUCCGAGCGACAUCCACCAAGAGAGGGAGCUUCCCCUGCUUGCAGCCGCGGGCUAGCCUGUCCAUAACGCCAAGACACAGGGGAAGAGCGAU